rnacentral:rRNA from 1 species
UACCGAGGUGGCAAGCGUUGUUCGGAAUUCCUGGGCGUAAAGGGCGCGUAGGCGGCCUUCUAAGUCAGACGUGAAAUCCCCAGGCUUAACUUGGGAACUGCGUCUGAUACUGGGAGGCUUGAGUGCGGGAGAGGGAUGUGGAAUUCCAGGUGUAGCGGUGAAAUGCGUAGAUAUCUGGAGGAACACCGGUGGCGAAGGCGGCAUCCUGGACCAUUACUGACGCUGAGGAGCGAAAGCCAGGGGAGCAAACGGG